AAGCCGUUCAAAGAUGCAUAAAAACGGCGUUUUUUACGGCGUUCUGUGCCAGCUGUAACGGCGUUUAAAACGGCGUUUUAUUGAAAUUAUGCAGGGCACUCCCCAUGGUUCCCUCAUCCAAUUACUUUCAACUCAUUUCACCCAAUCAAAGAAGACGAAGUGCAGACCACACUAAUGCAUCACCGAUUCACCUUGCUGCUGAGUGAUUGCCUAUUCGGUACCAGUGCUUGUCACAGUAUUGACUUGUAUUAUAAUCCCACUAUGCAUUUUGAUGUGUUUAAGGCAUGAUCAAGCAAACAAACGACAGAAUGCUUUUUCUGAAACCUUAACUGUGGUACCUGUUAUGGCAGCUAACAGACACUCGGCGCAUGGCUCCUUUGUUUACGUUAGGGAUCAGCUGUUAGCGCUGCGCCCUGCAGCUGCGCUACCGGCAGACGGUAGCGUCCCCAGUGAGGGAAGAGACGGGGGUGAUGUCUCCCGAGAAGGACACCUUACACACCAUCUCUCCUUCCUGUAAUCACUGUAAACGUGAGAUCGCUCCCUGAUAUGAUUGAGGAGCUAAUGACGCUAACCCGGUCACAGUGGCAGUACCCCGACACUGCCCGGUACUCCCUCUGUGAGUAGGCUGCCCGGCUUCCAGCUGCUGCGGCCGGACAAGACGAGAGACAGCGGUGAGAGGAAAGGAGGGGGACUGGGCAGUGUUUGUUAAAGACGGUUGUGGUAUCCCUGGGCACAUUGCUGUGAAAGAACAACUCUGCAACAGAGACAUUGAGCUAUUAGCCAUUAGCAUCCGUGGAGGCAGCCUGUGACUCUCUGUGGUCCGCAGACGCAAUCUCCGAGAGCUCUUCUUCUAAUAUCAGGGGACUUUAAUCAUGUCUCGCUGGACUCCACACUGACCACCUUCACCCAGUAUGUGACCUGCCCCACCGUAGGCAAUAAAACAUUGUACUUAAUGUAUGCCAAUGAAAAAGUGGCAUACAGUUCAUCACCUCCCCCUGCCCAGGGAAGAUCUGAUCAUAAUUAGUGCGCCUUGUCCCUGUGUGCAGCACUUAGUGUGCACGGAGCCACCAAUCACCCACGCAGUGCCGAGAUGGUCCGCGGAAGGCAUAUGAAUAAAUAAUAAAAGCAAAUAAAUGACAGAAUGCUUUUUCUGAAACAAACGGAGACCUUAACUUUUAUCAAAAUACCGUUUUACUCAGUUUAAAGUAAUACCACUGUAUAAUAGCCUUCAAAUUUAAUAAUGUUAACAGUAUCUCAGGAAUAUUUUUGCCCCAUCAACAUGCAUUAAAAUUAGAUAUGCAGUUUUGAAUCAGACCUGUAUGUACGUUUUCUGAAAAGUGAUGUAAAUAAAUAAUCUCAAAAACAUGAAAUAAUUGUUUCCCAUGUAAACUGGAGUUGUCCUUGUCAAUGUCAUCAGAGUACUCUGGAUGUCUUACAUGAAUUUGAAACAGAGAGUGGCACAUGACAGCGUUGCACAUAACAUAACUAGUUUACCUGUAUGACAUAAAGUAAUUAAAAUAAAAAAGAAUCCAUGUAACUUGGUUAUGGCUUCUUUCUGGUAACUGUAGAUACAAAUCGGCUGCAGUGUGGAUUAUCUUGACAAAAGUAUAAGAUACUGAACCCGCUGAUAUGAUGUGGUGGAGGAAUACAAAUACCUGGACACCCACAUUUAUACAUUUGCUGAACUGGAAGAUCAAAACAGAGGCUGUACACAAGCAGUGGAUGGGCAGGCUUUUUUUGUGAGCAAGCUUGUGUGUGCACCAAAAUGUUAAUGACAGGUGUUCUGUCAGUUCAGGUGAGUGCAGUGCACUUUGAUGUGUUCUUCUUGGAUCAGGAGAGCAAGCUCUGUGAUUGGCCGCGCUUCGGAAGCUGUGGUGGAGAGGAAGUGAGUGAACAAACUGCCAUGCAUCAUGGAUAUUCCUCUCAGUCCACCUCAUCAGGCACCUCUCUAAAAGUGUGACUCUGGUCUGUUGCCCCAAAGGAUACAGGAAAUGCACUGAUUUCCAGGACAGAAUCGUGUCUGUUUAAUGCUCCAUGAUGAUAACUUUCCUAUGAGCGUUUGAAGACCACUGACAUCAUGGCUUUUAGCCUCAUUGUUUCUGCAAAGAGAUUUCUCCAGUCACUGAAUCUUUUGAUAAAAUA
rnacentral:lncRNA from 1 species